rnacentral:rRNA from 1 species
UACGGGGGGAGCAAGCGUUGUUCGGAUUUACUGGGCGUAAAGGGCGCGUAGGCGGUCAGCACAAGUCAGUUGUGAAAUCUCCGGGCUUAACUCGGAAAGGUCAACUGAUACUGUGCGACUAGAGUGCAGAAGGGGCAACUGGAAUUCUUGGUGUAGCGGUGAAAUACGUAGAUAUCUGGAGGAACACCGGUGGCGAAGGCGGCUAUCUGGCCCAACAUUGACACUGAAGCACGAAAGCGUGGGGAUCAAACAGG